GGGGGCAAAGUGACAGGUGGUGCAUGGUUGUCGUCAGCUCGUGUCGUGAGAUGUUGGGUUAAGUCCCGCAACGAGCGCAACCCUUAUUGUUAGUUGCCAUCAUUUAGUUGGGCACUCUAGCAAGACUGCCGGUGACAAACCGGAGGAAGGUGGGGAUGACGUCAAAUCAUCAUGCCCCUUAUGACCUGGGCUACACACGUGCUACAAUGGGAAGUACAACGAGUCGCGAAGUCGCGAGGCUAAGCUAAUCUCUUAAAGCUUCUCUCAGUUCGGAUUGUAGGCUGCAACUCGCCUACAUGAAGCCGGAAUCGCUAGUAAUCGCGGAUCAGCACGCCGCGGUGAAUACGUUCCCGGGCCUUGUACACACCGCCCGUCACACCACGAAAGUUUGUAACACCCGAAGUCGGUGAGGU
rnacentral:rRNA from 1 species